GGGAGACAGUGCCUGACUCAUGUAACAUGCAACCAUCCACUAAGGUGGAACUUGCUGUUUAUGCGAUCAUAAUACUCUCAAGUAAAUCUAACCUGAAACACUCUGUUUUUUUGUUUGUACAUGCCAUCGUAGUAUACUCAUGGAGACCUAGCCUGAUAUAUGAUGAUUUUAGCAUGUCUACUUUACAACAAUCCAUUCAUGAAUAUCUAGCCCAAGGAUAGGCAACCUUCGGCACUCCAGAUGUUGUGGACUACAUCCCCCAUAAUGAUCUUAUACCCAUAAUGCUGACAAAGCAUCAUGGGAAGUGUAGUCUAAAACAUCUAGAGUGCCUUGCCUGUAACCGUUCGUACUCCAAUUUACCGCUAUAACGUCUUAUAACUUAGAAUUUAGCAGGGC